UACGUAGGGGGCAAGCGUUGUCCGGAAUCAUUGGGCGUAAAGCGCGUGUAGGCGGCUUGAUAAGUCUGCUCUGAAAGCCCGGGGCUCAACCCCGGGAGGCGGGUGGAUACUGUCGGGCUUGAGUACGGAAGAGGCGAGUGGAAUUCCUGGUGUAGCGGUGAAAUGCGCAGAUAUCAGGAGGAACACCAAUUGCGAAGGCAGCUCGCUGGGACGUUACUGACGCUGAGACGCGAAAGCGUGGGGAGCAAACAGG
rnacentral:rRNA from 1 species